AUUGAACGCUGGCGGCAGGCCUAACACAUGCAAGUCGAGCGGAUGAAGGGAGCUUGCUCCUGGAUUCAGCGGCGGACGGGUGAGUAAUGCCUAGGAAUCUGCCUGGUCGUGGGGGAUAACGUCCGGAAACGGGCGCUAAUACCGCAUACGUCCUGAGGGAGAAAGUGGGGGAUCUUCGGACCACACGCUAUCAGAUGAGCCUAGGUCGGAUUAGCUAGUUGGUGGGGUAAAGGCCCACCAAGGCGACGAUCCGUAACUGGUCUGAGAGGAUGAUCAGUCACACUGGAACUGAGACACGGUCCAGACUCCUACGGGAGGCAGCAGUGGGGAAUAUUGGACAAUGGGCGAAAGCCUGAUCCAGCCAUGCCGCGUGUGUGAAGAAGGUCUUCGGAUUGUAAAGCACUUUAAGUUGGGAGGAAGGGCAGUAAGUUAAUACCUUGCUGUUUUGACGGUACCAACAGAAUAAGCACCGGCUAACUUCGUG
rnacentral:rRNA from 1 species